UAGGUAAUUGUUGCCGCCGCCGCGGUACUACGGAGGAUGCGAGCGUUAUCCGGAUUUAUUGGGUUUAAAGGGAGCGCAGACGGGAGAUUAAGUCAGUUGUGAAAGUUUGCGGCUCAACCGUAAAAUUGCAGUUGAUACUGGUUUCCUUGAGUGUAGUUGAGGCAGGCGGAAUUCGUGGUGUAGCGGUGAAAUGCUUAGAUAUCACGAAGAACCCCGAUUGCGAAGGCAGCUUGCUAAACUGUAACUGACGUUCAUGCUCGAAAGUGUGGGUAUCAAACAGG
rnacentral:rRNA from 1 species